rnacentral:rRNA from 1 species
UCCUACGGGAGGCAGCAGUGGGGAAUAUUGCACAAUGGGCGCAAGCCUGAUGCAGCCAUGCCGCGUGUAUGAAGAAGGCCUUCGGGUUGUAAAGUACUUUCAGCGGGGAGGAAGGUGUUGAGGUUAAUAACCUCAGCAAUUGACGUUACCCGCAGAAGAAGCACCGGCUAACUCCGUGCCAGCAGCCGCGGUAAUACGGAGGGUGCAAGCGUUAAUCGGAAUUACUGGGCGUAAAGCGCACGCAGGCGGUCUG